rnacentral:rRNA from 1 species
GAAAGCAGGUCAUAGUGAUCCGGUGGUUCUGAAUGGAAGGGCCAUCGCUCAACGGAUAAAAGGUACUCCGGGGAUAACAGGCUGAUACCGCCCAAGAGUUCAUAUCGACGGCGGUGUUUGGCACCUCGAUGUCGGCUCAUCACAUCCUGGGGCUGAAGUAGGUCCCAAGGGUAUGGCUGUUCGCCAUUUAAAGUGGUACGCGAGCUGGGUUUAGAACGUCGUGAGACAGUUCGGUCCCUAUCUGCCGUGGGCGCUGGAGAACUGAGGGGGGCUGCUCCUAGUACGAGAGGACCGGAGUGGACGCAUCACUGGUGUUCGGGUUGUCAUGCCAAUGGCACUGCCCGGUAGCUAAAUGCGGAAGAGAUAAGUGCUGAAAGCAUCUAAGCACGAAACUUGCCCCGAGAUGAGUUCUCCCUGAGACUUAGAGUCUCCUGAAGGAACGUUGAAGACGACGACGUUGAUAGGCCGGGUGUGUAAGCGCAGCGAUGCGUUGAGCUAACCGGUACUAAUGAACCGUGAGGCUUAACCUUACAACGCCGAAG